AACGUUUACCCUUGAAGCCAUCAUAGACUUUAUAAUUACCUGCCAUUUGCUAUGGCAAACCUUGUUAUCAGUUCCGAACAAAUAAGGAAAUUUUAUCGGAUGCUGUGCAGGCUCGAAGGUAGAACAAGCUUCUCUAACUCUAGCCGAUUUUUAAAGCAACAUCUUGUUCAUAAGUUCAAAGUUUCAAAACCGCCAGAAAAUCACUCCCUUGCUCGCGAAAUAGAAAUCUAUAAAGAUCUAAUGCACUACAGAGAAUCAGUAGAGCAAUUCACUAAUCUUUUGUAUAAGUAUCGUAUUCUAAAUCGUAUGAGCGAUAGGGAGUACAUAAAACUACAAGCGAAUCAUCUCGGUUUAUCUAUGCCCAAAUUUUCUGACGAAAAAGGAGACGCUAACACGUGGAAGACUUCGAUCCGUCCCCCAGUAAAUAAGUUCGCAGCUGAAUAAUUAAAACCAGAAAACUCAACAAUAACACAAAAUCUAGCAGUAUUCUCUUCAUUUCCAUCUCCUUAGAAAAGCUGAUGUUAUUUCACUUGGCCGUGCGCCAUCUUAAUGCAGAAGGCUUUCGACUUAAAUGGCGGAGCCGAACUUUCAUUCAGCUGGUGUAUGAUGUACUAAAAACAUAAACAUCUUUAAAAUU